rnacentral:rRNA from 1 species
GAUGCGACCUCAGCUCAGGCGGGGCCACCCGCUGAGUUUAAGCAUAUCAAUAAGCGGAGGAAAAGAAACUAACANGGGAUUCCNCUAG